UACGACCAUUUCACGUUGUAACACCGGUUCCCGUACAGUGACAGAAGUUAAGCAACGUUGAGCCUGGUCAGUACCUAGAUGCGUUACUGCUUGAGAAUAUCAAGUACUGUAA